GUAGGUGAACCUGCGGAAGGAUCAUUACCAUUAUAGACCCACGGGGGAGGGCUUUCCGACAUUAAUUCCAGGACAGCCAGUGGAUGUACGGUUCCACUGGCUGGGGCGGAACACGAGGGAGAAUAUGCAAGCCGUUAGCUACUCGGAGCGCUGUUCAACCGCCGCCAUUCGAGCCCGAACCUGAACCCCACCCUUGCUUUUUGCGCACCCAUUGUUUCCUCGGCAGGCUUGCCUGCCAGCAGGACCCCAU
rnacentral:misc_RNA from 1 species